rnacentral:rRNA from 1 species
UAUGGCUCAGAAUGAACGCUGGCGGCAUGGAUUAGGCAUGCGAGUCGAACGAGAAAGCGCCCUCGGGCGCGAGUAAAGUGGCGAAAGGGUGAGUAACACGUGAGGAACCUGCCCCCUGGCCCGGAACAAGCCUGUGAAAACGGGUCUGAAACCGGAUGAGGCCCCUUCCCGCAUGGGAAGUCAGCCAAAUAUUCAUAGCCAAGGGAUGGCCUCGCGGCCCAUUAGCUAGUUGGCGGGGUGACGGCCCAUCAAGGCUACGACGGUAGGUGGUCUGAGAGGAUGGUCACCCACACUGGGACUGAGACACUGCCCAGACUCCUACGGGAGGCUGCAGUCGAGAAUCUUCCGCAAUGGGCGCAAGCCUGACGGAGCGAUGCCGCGUGAGGGACGAAGGCCUUCGGGUCGUAAACCUCUGUCGAGGGGAACGAACGCAAUGACGGUACCCCUCAAGAAAGCCACGGCUAACCACGUGCCAGCCGCAGC